UCCACUCGCUCUCUCCACCUUUGUCGCUACACAUGCCGGUCCACCCCUCCAUCUUCUUCACUAGCAGCUUGUGCAGCCGGUCACAGCAAGCAUUCGCCAAAUCAACUCACUGUUAUACCAACCAUAAUAAAUUUAAAGAAAAACACUCACCGUUACGAGCCACGAACGUAGCAAAUCCGAAGCCAAAUCGGAGAGAGCUGCAACUUCUUGUCGCUUGGAGUCUGCGACUUACAGCAAGAACAUUCCUCACCGUCUUGCGCUUGGAAACCACACCGGAGCAAGGCGGAGAAAGAACACAACGACG
rnacentral:lncRNA from 1 species